CUAACAUCGAUCACAGAACUAUCUCUCUCUCUCUCUCCUCCCCCCUUCCUUUCUCUCUCUCCCGUCGAUAACAGAUCUUCACGUCUUUGUCUCCGCUUCCGAUUUCAGCGAACACCGGCACGGCGCUAUCGGAUCUUGCACCACAAUCGUCACCUUUAAUUUCCAGAAAAUGAAACUGAUCAAAAAAUUAUAGAUCGAAUGAAAAUGAGAGAGGAGCAGGCAGAUGAGAGAGGAGCAGGCAGCUCGUCGGCGGCCGUCUGAUCGCUGCUUGAUGAUUUUGAUCGGAAAGGUGAGAGGAGGAUCGCGACGAUGAUGAAGGUGCACAGCGAGGCAAGGCAAGGCAGACCAGGCAUCGACGACGUCGUCUAGGGCUCAGUUUGGUGUCAACUCCUUCAAGCCUCCUGAUUUUCAAGCCACCUGAUUCUCAUGAAGGGCGCCGUUUGGCGACUGUAUCUCUAUAGCAACAGCUCCGACGCGUCUCAUGCCUCCACCGCCGCCGUCCCCGCUUAACCUUUCACAACGAUUUUCCUCUCCGAAACACCGACCAAGACGCUUUCCGGCAACCGCUCACUCCAGAGUUCUUUCCCUUUGCAUUUGUAGUAGUAGAUUUUGAAAAUCAUGUGAAUUUGGAUAUUGAAGCCUAUAUUGACCAAGAGAUCAUUCGGCCAACUAAAUUUUUUUGAAAUGAAGGCUCGUGCUGAAGGUGGCAAAUGAUGCAUAUGGAUCUAGAGCGUCACCAUUGAAAAAUGGCAGUAGCAUUACAACAUUGACAAUAGCUUUAUACAACUAUUGUAAUAGAUUUUCACAACUAUAGUAGUGGCUUUUUACAAGUAUGGAAGUAGCUUUUUAUAUAGUUACA